AUUGAACGCUGGCGGCAGGCCUAACACAUGCAAGUCGAGCGGUAACACAGGGAGCUUGCUCCCGGGUGACGAGCGGCGGACGGGUGAGUAAUGUCUGGGAAACUGCCUGAUGGAGGGGGAUAACUACUGGAAACGGUAGCUAAUACCGCAUAAUGUCGCAAGACCAAAGAGGGGGACCUUCGGGCCUCUUGCCAUCAGAUGUGCCCAGAUGGGAUUAGCUAGUAGGUGGGGUAACGGCUCACCUAGGCGACGAUCCCUAGCUGGUCUGAGAGGAUGACCAGCCACUCUGGAAUGGAGACCCGAUCCAGACUCCUACGGGAGGCAGCAGUGGGGAAUAUUGCACAAUGGGCGCAAGCCUGAUGCAGCCAUGCCGCGUGUAUGAAGGAGGCCUUCGGGUUGUAAAGUACUUUCAGCGGGGAGGAAGGCGAUAAGGCUAAUAACCUUGUCGAUUGACGUUACCCGCAGAAGAAGCACCGGCUAACUCCGUGCCAGCCGCCGCAGUAA
rnacentral:rRNA from 1 species